rnacentral:rRNA from 1 species
AUUGAACGCUGGCGGCAGGCCUAACACAUGCAAGUCGAGCGGAUGAAGGGAGCUCGCUCCUGGAUUCAGCGGCGGACGGGUGAGUAAUGCCUAGGAAUCUGCCUGGUAGUGGGGGAUAACGUCCGGAAACGGGCGCUAAUACCGCAUACGUCCUGAGGGAGAAAGUGGGGGAUCUUCGGACCUCACGCUAUCAGAUGAGCCUAGGUCGGAUUAGCUAGUUGGUGGGGUAAAGGCCCACCAAGGCGACGAUCCGUAACUGGUCUGAGAGGAUGAUCAGUCACACUGGAACUGAGACACGGUCCAGACUCCUACGGGAGGCAGCAGUGGGGAAUAUUGGACAAUGGGCGAAAGCCUGAUCCAGCCAUGCCGCGUGUGUGAAGAAGGUCUUCGGAUUGUAAAGCACUUUAAGUUGGGAGGAAGGGCAGUAAGUUAAUACCUUGCUGUUUUGACGUUACCAACAGAAUAAGCACCGGCUAACUUCGUG